AGAGAAGCCAAAAACAGAACCCAACACAGGGAAACAAAGGGAAGAAAAAGAAGAAAGCAGAAAGACAUAGGUUUCACUUUUGAUUUUCUUUGACUGUUUAACAACACAGAGAAGCAGACAAUGACCCAAAGCACACUUUAGUUAGCAAGCCAGCUCAAUCCCUCCAAAAAGCCCCAACUCUGAUUCGCUUCUUCUAAGCCAAUCAAACAAUCCAACCCAUUUAUGUACUUUUGCCUCAUGGAAAUUCCUUCUCUUUUUCCUCCAGCCUGAAUUUUCUCCUAAAAAAGAUGGACUUCAAUCAUAUCUUCAUUCGGGUUCAUGUGUUUCCAUGCAUUGUUGACUCAAGUUGAUGUCAUUGAAGAUGGAACUGCUUUUUGGAGCUUUAUUACUGGCACUCUUACAUUCUUUUGUGUUGUCUGAUUUGCAAGGGGAUGCACUAUAUCAAUUGAAGCUUUCGAUGGGUGCUCCAGCCAAUCAGUUAUCAGAUUGGAAUCCAAAUCAAGUCAACCCAUGCACUUGGUCAAAUGUUAUCUGUGACCCUAGUAAUCAAGUCACUUCUGUAACAUUAUCUGGCAUGAACUGUUCUGGAACCUUGUCCUCCAAAAUAGGAAUUCUGAAUACUCUUACUACACUAACAUUGAAGGGAAAUGGCAUAACUGGUGAGAUACCCAAAGAGUUUGGAAAUUUGUCGAGUUUAUCCAGCUUAGAUUUGGGAAAUAAUCGUUUAAGUGGACUUUGAGUCAAAACAACCUCACUGGAGCUAUCCCUGAAUCACUUUCUCGUCUCCAAAAUUUGAUUAAUAUGUAAGUGACAAAAGGUGGAGACAGUCAGUCCAAUUUUAGAUUGAAACAUUUACAACUUGCUUCAGUAUUCAUAUUGCUUGGUAGCUUUACAAGAUGAUCCAACAUUUUCUGUAAGACUGACGGUCAAAAGUACGUGUUUGCAUACGUGGGCGUCUUUACAAGUUUUUAAAGUCAUAAUUGAAAUUUUCUUUGCAGUCUACUUGAUUCAAAUCACCUCAGUGGUCAUAUUCCUGAGCAUCUGUUCCAAAUUCCAAAAUACAAUUUCACUGGAAAUCGCUUAAAUUGUGGUGCAAACUUUCCCAAACCCUGUGAAUCUGAUAGUAGUGAUUCAGGUGCUUCAAAUAAGCCAAAGAUUGGUAUUAUAGUUGGAGUUGUUGGAGGAACUAUAAUUCUUCUUCUUUUUGGAGGACUUCUGUUUUUUGUUUGCAAGGGUAGACACAAAGGUUACAAACGUGAAGUGUUUGUGGAUGUUGCAGGUGAAGUUGACCGACGAAUUGCUUUUGGUCAAUUGAAAAGAUUUGCAUAUCGGGAAUUACAGCUGGCAACAGACAACUUCAAUGAGAAAAAUAUUCUUGGACAAGGGGGUUUUGGAAAAGUUUAUAAAGGAGUGCUUCAAGAUAACACAAAAGUGGCUGUUAAACGUUUGACUGAUUUUGAAAGUCCAGGAGGAGAUGCAGCUUUCCAACGUGAAGUGGAGAUGAUAAGUGUAGCUGUUCACAGGAAUCUACUACGGCUGAUAGGGUUUUGCACUACACCAUCAGAGCGGCUUUUGGUGUAUCCAUUUAUGCCAAAUUUAAGUGUGGCUUAUCGUCUAAGAGAACGUAAGCCUGAGGAGCCUGUUUUAGGUUGGGAAACAAGAAAAAGAGUGGCAUUAGGUGCAGCACGUGGACUGGAGUACCUUCAUGAACAUUGCAAUCCUAAGAUUAUUCAUCGGGAUGUUAAGGCUGCUAAUGUACUAUUAGAUGAAGAUUUUGAAGCAGUUGUUGGUGACUUUGGCCUGGCGAAGUUGGUGGAUGUAAGGAAGACUAAUGUGACAACUCAAGUUCGUGGGACAAUGGGCCACAUAGCUCCUGAGUACUUAUCUACUGGAAAGUCAUCUGAAAGAACGGAUGUUUUUGGUUAUGGGAUUAUGCUUCUAGAGCUUGUAACAGGUCAACGGGCAAUUGACUUUUCACGGUUGGAAGAGGAGGAUGAUGUCUUGUUGCUCGACCAAGUGCAAUAAUCACUAACAUUUCAACACGUUAUUAUUUGGUUUCUCUGCAUUAAUCUUCUCUGUUUCCUACCUAUAUUUAUCUAGUUAUUUACAUGAUAAAUGCUUGAUGAGAUAAGAACCUAACCUUAGUUUGGAGUAUGAUGUGCCAUUGACGUGUCAUCCUGGUUUCUAGUUAUUAUUAUAACUUUCAUGUUUCACAAUCUUCCAUGUUCUUGUUUGCUGAUUGUUCUGCUCCUCAUCUAUUUGCAUAUGAAGGUCAAAAAGCUGGAGAGGGAAAAAAGACUGGAUGCUAUUGUAGAUCGCAACCUUCAUAAACAUUACGACAUUCAGGAAGUGGAGAUGAUGAUCCAAGUUGCAUUACUCUGUACCCAAGCAUCACCAGAAGACCGUCCAGCAAUGUCAGAGGUUGUGCGAAUGCUGGAAGGAGAGGGUCUGGCUGAGAGAUGGGAAGAGUGGCAGCAUGUUGAGGUUACACGCAGGCAAGAAUAUGAAAGGCUGCAGAGAAGAUUUGACUGGGGAGAAGAUUCAUCAUAUAACCAGGAUGCUAUUGAGCUAUCUGGUGGAAGAUGAGGGUGGCAGAUUUCCACAAUGCAUUCGAAGCAUGCAAUUCGUUUUCUUGGGCUAGUUUUGAUGUUUUCCUUCACUGUAGCAAUUAUGAAUUAAAAAUGAAUUCACAUAUGAUUGGUUGCUCAUGUGAGAAGAUCUCCUCUUUCACCCUUCGUUUCAUUUCAAAUUUGCCUUUUUGUGUAGCCGCUUUUUGUAUAAUGAAGCUUUUCUUGAUGCUAAUAUGGACUAUAAUUUCAUUGCAAGUUUGCUUCCGAUGUGAUUUCAGCAAGUUUCUCUA
rnacentral:misc_RNA from 1 species